rnacentral:misc_RNA from 1 species
AGUUAUAUAUGGUGACACUGACAGGUAUGCAACUCUAGUUGUUAUGUUAGGGAUUAAAAAUCUUUUGCGAUGCUAAUCUGAAUAAAUUUGCAAGGCACAAAACAAGGAGGUUUAACUUUGGUGCAUCUUCUCUUACUGUUAUCAAAUGUUGCAUCAUCUGUAGUGGUAGACUGGAGCCACACCCCUCAAACUUGGUAUUUUUGGCAGCUCUACCUGCCUGAAAAUUUUUUAGUUUAGCUUGAACCUCUUCAUAGAGAUUGGUUAUAACUUUGUGAUUGUAAGACCAAACUUAGUUGCUAUUUUCUUCAAAAUUCAGACAUAGGCAUGUGUGUACAUUUGCACAUGUUCAUAUAGUGGGAUCCAACUUCUUUCAAAUAAGGUUGUACUCUUUUAGUUCUCACUCAAUCUAUAUUAUCUCAAUUAUUUUGUAUUGACACCUGUUUGGG